UACGUAGGUGGCAAGCGUUGUCCGGAUUUAUUGGGCGUAAAGCGCGCGCAGGUGGUUUCUUAAGUCUGAUGUGAAAGCCCACGGCUCAACCGUGGAGGGUCAUUGGAAACUGGGGAACUUGAGUGCAGAAGAGGAUAGUGGAAUUCCAAGUGUAGCGGUGAAAUGCGUAGAGAUUUGGAGGAACACCAGUGGCGAAGGCGACUGUCUGGUCUGUAACUGACACUGAGGCGCGAAAGCGUGGGGGAGCAAACAGG
rnacentral:rRNA from 1 species